UACAGAGGUCUCAAGCGUUGUUCGGAUUCAUUGGGCGUAAAGGGUGCGUAGGCGGCGGGGUAAGUCUGAUGUGAAAUCCCGGGGCUCAACCCCGGAACUGCAUUGGAUACUGCCCUGCUUGAGUACUGGAGAGGAGACUGGAAUUUACGGUGUAGCAGUGAAAUGCGUAGAGAUGUGGAGGAAUACCGAUGGCGAAGGCAGCCCCCUGGGUCAAUACUGACGCUCAUGCACGAAAGCGUGGGGAGCAAACAGG
rnacentral:rRNA from 1 species